rnacentral:tRNA from 1 species
UCUCAGUGGUAAAGAAUCUGCUUGCAAUGCAGGAGACCCGGGUUCAACCCCUGG